rnacentral:rRNA from 1 species
AGCGAACGCUGGCGGCAGGCCUAACACAUGCAAGUCGAACGCACCGCAAGGUGAGUGGCAGACGGGUGAGUAACGCGUGGGAACGUGCCCUUCGGUUCGGAAUAACCCGGGGAAACUCGGGCUAAUACCGGAUACGUCCGUAAGGAGAAAGAUUUAUCGCCGAGGGAUCGGCCCGCGUCGGAUUAGCUAGACGGUGAGGUAACGCCUCACCAAGGCGAUGAUCCGUAGCUGGGCUGAGAGGACGAUCAGCCACACUGGGACUGAGACACGGCCCAGACUCCUACGGGAGGCAGCAGUGGGGAAUAUUGGACAAUGGGCGCAAGCCUGAUCCAGCCAUGCCGCGUGAGUGAUGAAGGCCUUAGGGUUGUAAAGCUCUUUCGGCGGGGACGAUAAUGACGGUACCCGCAGAAGAAGCCCCGGCUAACUUCGUGCCAGCCGCCGCAGUAAGAC